GUUUUGUUUUUUUUUUUUGCCUGCAAAGAUUAAAGGGUUAAUAUUGUUAACCAAAACA
rnacentral:tRNA from 1 species